AUUUUCUAGAGCUGAUUGGUACAUUCAUUUAAAAAAAAUCAUUUUUUCUGUGGUGUGCAUCUUGUAAAUACCAUUGUCAGCCACGCUAUCAGAAGGGUGUGCUUGGGAACAUCAGUCUGGCCUGUAAACUUUCAGUGUAUGUGGCAUGAUGUAGGAAACAGACUCAUUCUGCUGUUCCCUGGGUAAAAGGAGAGCUCCCAGGAAUGUUGGCAGAUGAUAAGCAGAAAUGCCAGAACACUAAUCCUUCAGAGCAAAUCUUCUCAUUGCUACACUUUGACUAACAUGUUGCUGUGAACAGGACCUGGAAAUGUCUUGACAGUGACCUUCCCUCCUUCUUUACUUUGGAUUGUCCCUUUCACAAAGGAUUCUUUGGGGUGCACCACAAAGACCGAUGACUUGGCAUCAAAAGGCUUGUUCUGGGCCUCGAUUCUUUCCUUCUCUGACUUUCGGAGGUAGGGAGCUGCCUCCCCAAAGGCGGCCAUCUCAGCAUCUGGAGAAGCCAUGGCUGCGCUCACACAGGAAGCACAGUCAGAAGAGUGCUCUGUAGGAAAGAAAAUAUGUUGAGUCAGUGGGUAAAGUGUUCUGUGAAAGAGAGAAAAUCUACAAAAUACAGGCAUACAAAAUCUAAAAUAUACAGAGCCUGGAGUCCAGUGGUACUAGAAGGAAACCACAGCACAGCUGGAAGAGGCAGAAUGUGAGAAAUCCAUGGAUACAGGCAGUCCUGCACAGCAGUACAGUUGAUUGACCUUACAUGGCUUGCUGCAGCCCAAGCUCCACUGAGCAUCUCACUGGAGAAGAACCAGAUCAGCUAACCAGACAGGACAUUCCAAGAGGAGUCUUUGUGCCCUUGGAUCCUUAAUGAGCAGACUGACAAUGAAUGUGUAGCCUCAUACCCCUGAGUAAAAUCGGACCUCUCAGGAAUGCUGGCAUGAGACAAGAAGAAAUGCCGGAAUACUAAUUCUCUGGUGCAAAGCUCCUCAUCCCAACAUUUCUGCUAAGAUGUGGCUGAGCAAUGGACAUUGGAGAUGCAAAUGUCACAGCGAACUGUAUCUGGGCAGUGGGUGCUGUUUGAGGAGACAUUCAGAAUGCCAUUUUCAUCAGAUGACAAAGCAGGCGAACAGCUCCAGUUACAAAGCAGCACUGUGCUGACCUCCGGGAGCUGCUGGUAUGAGAAGGUGGUGGUGUCUACUCUGCUGGAGCUGUAAGAGCACUGUCAUAAAACCCUAACAGGAAGGCUCAGAGCCUGGAGUCCAGUGGUACUAGAAGGAAACCACAGCACAGCUGGAAGAGGCAGAAUGUGAGAAAUCCAUGGAUACAGGCAGUCCUGCACAGCAGUACAGUGUGAGCAUGGUGUUGACAUUCCCCACAGUGAAGAGGGCAUCCAGACAUGCCAUCCAGACAUGAAAACAGAUUACACUCCAUUUUCUGAAAGUUCCUAUAAAAUAUUCUGAGUUGGAAAGACUACACAAGAAUGAUCAAGUCCAACUCCUGUCUGCACAUAGGACUACCUAAAAAUUAAACCAUAAUUCUGAGAGUGUUUAAAUGCCCAUCUAGUAUGGCAGCAGCAGAGGUCUAACCAUGGCCACGUAAGGUGUCUGACUGGCUCCAGAGCCUCUCGUUUGUUCGCAUGCUAUUUUCACAAGACAAAAAAUUCCUGAUGCUGCAAUGGACUUAUGCCAUGAAGGACUGGAUCUUUCCUCCAGAAGGCAUUCACUGUGGCCCUGAGUCUUUCACUACUGCAUCACAGUUCUCGGAAUACACAGUACUUUGCCUUGACAUCUCCAAUUUCUUGAAAAGCAAAGGAAAAUUCACACAGCAGAGGGGGAAAAAAAGCAAAAAACAAAACAAAAAAACAUAAACAAAUUUUGUUCUACUUUCCCUUGAAAUUAUGUUGUUCAAUCCCUUUUUCAUGCUGAAACAUCUAUAACUCUAAUUAUUUCUCAGCACCAAAAAAACUCAUGUCUGACAGACACUCAGAGGCCUUACGAAACACAAACAUGCUGCCCUACAAACACCAACUCUUGGCUAUCAUAGAAUCACAGAAUUUCUAUGUUAUGAUAUUGACUUUCCUUGUCUUGUGUUCAGAGAGCAUGAAUAGAGGAGAUAGAGGCACUCAUGAGAACUGUUGAAGUGUGACAGUGGAGCACGAUCAAGAACUCUUGAGUUUGUGGCUCAGUACAAACUACACUCUCAUCUCUGCAUCUUGGAGCAACAACAACAUCAACCUUGUAGCCUGUUUAGUUAGAAAGAAAUUCCACAUCCAAUAUCUCCAUGUAAUUACCAUGGAACCAUCUGCAGACCUUCUGUUUAAAUCCUCUGCUCCUUCUACCCUGGGCUGCUCUGAACAUGACCUCCUGGACAGUUGCACUGACAUAAGAAGUUGCCACUGACCUGGCCUCCAUUUCAAAUGGAUUGAUCUUUUCUACCUAGAGAGGAUCAAAUAAAGUCAGUCCUGGCAGACCGUAGGAGAAUCACCUAGGAAAGUUUAAGAAUGGAUCUUCUUGGGAGUCAGUAUGCGUGAUGGAAGAUUUAACCUUGGCAGCUGGUGAAUUCCAGUACCAAAAAGUACCUGAUAAUGAGUUGUCAUCUCUCUGAAGAAGCACAGCAUAACUAUCACUAUCACACAGUUCAUGCUCUCAUGAGAGCAUUGGGUACCUUUGUUAUUGUCUCUAGAUUCUGUUAGUUAAACACUCAUCCUAGAGCAGCUGCACAAUGGACUUCAUAGACAUUUAGAGGAGGUGUGCUCAAAUCAGAUGGGUAUCCAGUAAAUGGAUGCCAAAAAACAGGACACUCUGAUACAUGAAUCUUCUUCACCAAAUGGAGGAUGCUUUUAAAAAGAUAUUUAGUUGUUUCCUUUGUACUGGGAUCCACAGGCUCUCCCACGCUCUGUCAUGAAGCUUUUUGUGAUCCUGAUCAGCACCAGCUCCUUUUACUUGACUGCAAAUUUGAAGAGAACACAUUCACAUGAAAGAUUAGCAGAAGAUCUCAAGAUGGCACCAAUCUCACCCUGCCCGUUCAAUGUCAUGCCACCAGCAGUUUCACCUGGAAAGAUGCUUGGUUAAUUCUGCUCAUAUCAAAAAGGAGCUCAGUGUAGGAGAAGCAGGAAAGCCAAGAGUGCCUACGGAUAGCAGCCUGCAGCAGACCAGGUAAGGCAACCUGUACUCAAGUGCACAGAAUGAAAUUCUUGGUCUUCACACUUGCAAGUAACAUGCAAGACUCCUAGGUGAGGCCUGUAAUGCCUCUUUAAAUACAGAUCCCUUUGCAUUCCCUGCUAGUCAGUCCUGCCAUGAUAAAGAAAGCUCUGGAAUGUUUGGCUUCUGCUCCAGCAGGAAACAUCCCAUGGAAGUGCAGAUGUCUGAACUGUGAACUGUGGCAGAGUGGCUGGGAAUGGCUCCAGUUUGACUGUGGACUAUGGGGUUAUGCAGAAUGGAGAAGGGAGUGCUUUGGACCUCAUUGCAGCCUUUCAGUACUUAAAAGGGAGCUUAUAAAAAAAGACGGAGACCAACUUUUCACAUGGUCUGACAAUGAUAGGACAAGGGGGGGGGGGGGAGGGGGGGCUAAACCAAAAGAGGGGAGAUUUAGGUUAGAUGUUAGGAGGAAAUUCUUUACUGAGAGAGUGACGUUUCACUGGCACUGCUGCCCAGAGAAAUGUGGGUGCCCCAUCCCUGGAGAUGAGCGUGGCCAGGCUGGGUAGGGCUUUGGGCAGCUUGAGCUGGUGGGGGGUGACCAGUUCAUGGCAAGGGAGUUGGAACAAAAAGAUAUUUAGGGUCCCAUUUAGUCAAAACUGUUCUAUGAUUCUAUGACUUUAUGACUCUCUGUGAGAGUAAAGACAUGCAAACUUUGUAUAGCAACAGUACAGUGAGCUUCCAUCUUCUGCAGUGCUAUACCCAAACCGUCACAGUUCCACACAGCGGGAUAAAUGCUUUCUCAUCUCAGUAUCUGCAAUUUCAAGGGACAGCAGUCCACAAGCUCCCUCAGCAGCCUCUACUGGCUCCUAUAUUCUACCACAGGAACAAAUCCAGGAAGGAAGGCUGAAGAGAUCAACAGAAUAAAAGCAACUAUGCCAUGGGCAAGAUGCCACCCAACUGCCCUACAGUUCCUCACAGGGGAUUGCAUAGAUGCCUUUCCAUCCCUUAAACUGUCACUGCCCAUAGCAAUUUGCAGCCCCACUGCUGCCUUGCAAUUGCAGUUUAGCUGUGGUAGACAGCUAAGUGCUAUACAACUGCUUGCUCACUAUCUCAAUGGGAGAGAAUUGAAAAAGUAAAAAUGAGAAUAUUUGUGAGCUGAGGUGAAGAUACCUUAACAGAUAAAGAAAAAGCAAGCAAAACAAAAUAAGGUAUUCACAGAAUCACCGAAUUGCAGGGAUUGGAAGGGACCUUGAGAGAUACCAAGUCCAACCUCUCUGUUAAAGUAGGUUCCCUAAAACAGGUCACACAGGUCAGCAUCCAGACAGUCUUGAAUAUCUCCAUAGAAGGAGAUUUCACAACAUCUCUGGGCAACCUGUUACAGUGCUCUGUCACCCUUACUGUGAAGAAGUUCUUUUGCAUAUUUGUUUGGAACUUCCUAUGUUCAAGUUUUGGGCCAUUGCUCCUUGUCCACACACCACCAAGAAGAUCCUGACCUCAUCCAUUUGCCUCCCUCCUCCAUUUAGAUAUUUAUAAACACUUAUCAGAUCUCCCCUCAGCCUCCAUUUCUCCAGGCUGAACAGACCCAGGCUUCUCUCAUAUGGGAGAUGCUCCAGGCCCUGUAUCAUCUUUGUGGCGCUCCACUGGACUCCUUCCAAAAGAUCCCUGUCUUUUUUGAACUGGGAAGACCAGAACUGGACACGGUAUUAUAAAUGUGGCAUCACUAGGGCAGAGAUCCCAACAUUAACUGCCAUCUGUCCAAGAGUCCCAUUCACAGAGCAUUUGCCCAGGAAGUGAGAGGUCUGUGUGCAGCGCUCUUCUCAGCUAAGGAGGGAUGUGCAUGCUCAGCAUCCUUUACAUGCCUCUGAGAUCUUGGUCCCUUACCAUCAGGUAAGGAUGUAUUCUGGUUGGAUGCACUGUCCACAGCCCCACCUUGAAGCUUGUCCGCUGAGCAGGCAGGCACACUAGACCUACACCAGCACUGUUCCCAAGUUAUGGCUCUAGUUCCCAUAGAGACAAAUGUACUUAGAUCCCUCCAGUCUCAUGUUCACCAUUUUCCUGGGUAGCUAGCUCUAGCCGUAGGUGGCUUUAUGCUUACUUUUAUCACGAGACAACUUCUGGAGGUGUUUCCUAACCUGAAUGACUGUAGGAGGCGAAAUCUUUCAGAGGUGAAAAAUCUUUGAGAACAGUGUGGAGGUCUCUUGUGCUCUUACCUGUAUUGAAGAGAAUAGGCAUCUACAUCUUGAGUGCAGUACUACCUAGCAGGAGGUGCUAAGAACACACUCUGCACCUCUUCUCUUCUGGCCUUCCUGCCACCCUCUGUGCCCAUGUCCCACUGGAUGGCAAAGGCAUUAUUUGAAUUUAGCAAGAAGCUUAGAUGAGGAGAGCAAUCCUUUGCAGCCUAGCCCUGAAGUUUCUGCAUUACUGUUCUAUGCUGUGUAGAGGUUGCUGUGUAUGCAGUGGGCUGUGUGGGUAAAGCACAUAUAGGUCAAUCUUGUGGUUCAUCUUUGAGGAUUGAGUGAGAGGAGAAAGGAGAAAUUGUCAGGCUCUACAUGCUUGAUGCAUCUCUGAUCAUUCUCAUUAGCUGCUCCUUUCCCAGGAGCUCCUUGAGCUACGUACCACUUCCUCCACCAAUCUCUCCAGGCCUUCUUUCCUUACCUCUGCAGCCCCCACCUGCUGACGCCCUGCUGGCAGCCCUCACUGGCUGCUCCAGCUAAUGCCUUCAGCGCUGAUGACUGAGUCACUUCCUCAAGGAGGAAUCUGGCUAUAGCAGGACCCAUGGAACAACCAGAGAGCAAGAAGUCUGUGCUCCUGAAUGGGUGAAGUUCCCUGACUUCCUCACUACUAUAAAAAAAAUAAAUAAAUCUUUUCAAGAUUUCCAGCAUGCAACCACUGCUGUUGGCCAUGCUGCUGUUAUUGUAGGGUCUGUCUAGACAUCAGUUUGCUCUGUAGCUCCUGCUUGCCACUGACAGAGAAUGCCCCACCUCUGCGGUAGCAACAUUUCUGCUGCUCUCAGCGUAAUAGGAGAGCUCACAGGAAUGUAAGCAUUGGACAAGUAGAAAUGUCAGAAUGCUACUCUGUGACAAAACCUUUCAUCCCUACGCUUCUGAUAGGAUGUGACUAGACCCUGGAGAUGGUAAGAAAACAUUUUCCAUAUCAAAAGGGCAUUUAUCAGUUCAGUUUAGAUGUGCUAAGGUGCAUGCUCUCAGUGUUCCCUGCAGAAUGUGUUUACUCCAUGUUUUUGAUGCAUCAUCUAGUUGGGAAAUUUGCCAUUAAACUAACACUACCAGUAAGUGUGCCUGAAGAAUGAGGUGAGAGAACUGCUAGAAGCAAUAACUGCUUUCCCAGGAAGAAUUACUUAGGAUCGUAAUGAAUGAGACUUAAAACCCACUGGUUGAAAAUCAUUGUGAGUCACACAUUCUUUGCUAUGGUGAAUGCAAUCAAAACUUCCUUGGUUUAUCUGUGAGCACUUGUGAAGACAAGCUCAAGUCACAGGCUGGUUAUGAAAGAAUUGUGAUGGUCUUGCUACGCCUUGUCCCUUGUGCUCCAUUCAGAAACUAAUUUCUACAGCUCGGAAUGCAGUUAUGAUUUACCUUCACUGAAUGUCCUAGGAGGAGUACUGGUGACAGAUGUGCUGUGAAGUAGCUUCCUACCGAGUGGUACCCUUGGAAGUUCCUAGAAUGAGUUAACUGAACACGAGAGGCAAACAAACCCCAUAAUCUAUGAUCACAAAAUGGGCAGAUUUCAGAUGCACACCACAGGUGCACCAUUACUGAGACUCCUGUCUGCAGCGCUAACAGCAGUGGAAGAGAUCUGGGCAGCAUGUUCAGGCCAACAAGAUGACAUUCAAGAUGCCCUUUCCAUAAUUCAGCAAAGCAGCUGAGGGGCUCCUGUUACAGAGCAGGUGAGUGGGGUGUGCAGGCUGGGAGACCACUGGAUCAAAAAAGUAAUGGAAAUAGCAAGUAGCAGGAAUCAGGGAGGAGGAAGGAAGGGGAAGGAAAGGAAAGGAGAGAGGGAGCGUGAUAUUACUCCCUGCAGGCAACAUAGAAUGAGCUGCACUUUUGAUAUCAAAGGUCCCCAUGGCACAACUUUCUGUCUUUGAAAGUGAUGCUCAGGAAGGAGAGACAGGUUGCCUAAGGCAAUGUAGAGUGACAUUUCAUCAAAACUCACCCAGUUGCUGGCAAUAUGUAUUUAUGGAACCCCUGAGCAGGACACGAUGUCUGGGUAUUCAGUAGCUCAUGAUGAAUUUCAACAGAUUAAUUGGUCCAAAUAUUUUAUGGCAUAUUGCUGUGAUGCACUACUGAAGAUAACUCAGAGAAAAGCAGACAAGCAAAUGUAGUUUUCUUCACUUUGUUACUAUCUCUGACUGAAUGCUACAAAUAAAUAUAUUCUAUAUUCUUCACACUUCUAAUUUUCAUACAAAGUCACACAUUUGAGGAAGCAAAAAUACUUAUUAAACUACAGAGAAUAUCUACAAGAUGUCUCAACAGAGUGUUCUACAGUUAAUUUACAUUCAUAGUAAGCCUACAGUUUGCCUCUUAGUAACCUGAUGUAUUUUAUCCACAGUCCUGUCUUGAAACUUAGAAGUACAGUUUUAUAUUUGAGGGAAAUCAGAGAAAGAAAGGACCUCUUUUUGUACACACUUUUCUUGGUUGCAUGCCAGAUCAAUCAGUAAAUGCAAGGAGAAUUCAGCUGUUGAAUUAAUUUUUUUUUCCUCAUGUUGUCAAGAAGUUUAUUCCCCUAAUACGGAACAGCGCGUACUUGCUCAGGAAGUACACGUCCCUCUAGUCCAGGAGUUCACGGAUCACAGGUCCUCUGCUGUUGGGCAGCGGUUCUGUUGGAACAUAUGCACUGUAUCUAUUUUAAACUUUCUUGCAGAGAUGGUCCUUUAUGGCCAUUUAGGAGCAGUGUUUUCUCCCUGGUCAGUUAGUGCUUGUCAGCUGGCAGGCAGCACAACUCCAUAAAUAGUGUGUCAAUGCAAAAGGCUAUUAUUCUGCAGUGAUGGCAGUAGGAACAAGGAAGGAAUCCUUGGUGUCCCUCUCCUUGGUAUGCUACUUGGGCUCUGAUAAUUUGUCAUCAUUUAUGGCCUCCCCAGCUGAACUGUACUGUUAGUUCAGCAGAAAACAAACUGUGAGAAUGCCUGGUUUUGUUUUCUUUUCAGUAUAUGAUGUAUCUAGUUUAGACUAGUACUCUGAUAUAUAGCACUGUUAGGGAUGUUUUUACAAUUUGAAUAGUUCUGAAAAAAUAGUUUCCUAAUAGGUCCAUAAAAAUAAUUGGAGUUCUCAUUUUCAACAGGUGCUUACAGUCUCUCUUAAAUUAAAGGCAAUAAAUUAUCUGUUUUGAAAGUUGAUGUUUUUAUAUACCUUAGAAUGCAGUCCCCAAACAAACCUUGCUGUUCAGGUACGCAAAUGAACAACCCAAAAAUGGGAAGUCUCUUUGACUGGAAAAAGAAGCUUUUUAUAGAUAAAAUAUAUAACAUAUAUAACACUUCUGUGGAAUUUUGCUGGGUAUUACAAGGCAAAAUCAGACAUAUACACCUUCUCAGAAAUUGCAGCAGCUUUUCCACACAGGAUUAGUAACUAUGAAAUAUAAAUGUAAAAAUAGGCAUGAUGAUCAUCACUGUUUCAGUUGUAGGAAAGCUACUGAUUUACUUACUAUUAUAUUAUUAUAUUAUUAUAUGAACUUUUGUAAGUUCAUAUAACUUUUGUAAGUUCAGAUAACUUUCAGUACCAUUCACUAUCUAGGCAGCCCUUGACAGAUGCUUAUCUAACCAUUCAAAGCAUAGGCCAAAGGAGAUUAUGCUAGACUACAGAUACUUUGUGCUAGUAUGCAGUAUUUCUCAUUCAAAUAUUUCAUAAAUCUUUACUCCACAUCACAUUUAAUGCAAAUUAAACAAUUAUAGUUUUGAUCAUAGAACCACCUACAGCCUUUAAUAAAAAUAUUUUCCAUUUUAGAAAAUUAUUUCUGUACUCCCAUAUGCAGUCUUUAUUUCUCUUAUAUCUUGAUUUGACAACAAACAUCAGUAUAUAACCCUUCAUAAAUCAUACUCUUUAUACUUGUAAUUCUAUCUCCUCUGCUCCCUACAGUACUGAAUUUUUUUUUCUCUCAAAAAACAUUUUUCAAAAGUGUUCUAUGCAAUCACCAAAAGACCCACUCCUAAGGAAAGCAAACAUUCACUCUGUUUGGCACCCUUUCCCUCCUGUGUGAGCUACACCACUUAGCAUGAUGUCAUCAACCAACUAGCUGAGGGUGAACUCAAUCCCACUGUGCAUAUCCCCAACAAAGAUGUUGAAUAGUGCCAGUCCUAGCACCAACCCUUGAGGAAUACCACUCUUCACUGACUCCCAGCUGAACAUAGAGCCAUUGACUGCAACUCUUUCAGUGUGAUCACCCAGACAAUUCCUUGUCCACCAAGUGGUCCAACUGUCAAAGCUAUGUCUCUCCAAUUUAUAGACAAGGAUUCCAUGUGUUCCUGUGUCAAAUGUGUUAACACAAGUACAGGUAAGCGAUGUCCACUGUUCUUCCUUUAUUUGCCAACACUGUAAUUCUGUUGUAGGCAGACACCAAAUUUGUCAAACAUUAUUUGCCCUUAAUGAAGAUGUGUUGGCUGUCACUGGUCAUGUCUUUUUUUUCCAUGUGCUUUAGCAUACUUUUCAGGAGGAUCUAUUCCAUGAUCUUGCCAGGCACAGAGAUGAGACAGACUGAGCUAUAGUUCCCCAAAGGCAUCUCUUCUUUCUUUCCUUUUUAAAAAUUGGGUUAUUUUUUCACUUUUCUAGCCAGUGGGAACUUCACCAGACUGCCAUGAAUUGUCAGAUAUGAUGGACAGUGGUUUAGCAAUUUUAUCCACCAGUUUCCUCAGGAUGCUCAGAUACAUCUCAUCUGUUCCCCUGGAUUUGUACACAUUCAGAUUCCUUAGACUGCCUUGCUCCUGUUAGUCUCCGACAGUGGACACUUCUUCAUUCUCCCAGUAUCUGCAUUUCGAUGCUGUGAGAUAAGUGGUGAAGACUAAGGCAAUAAAGUCACUGAGUACCUCAGCCUUCCGCAUAUCAUGGAUGACCAGGUCUCCUGUUUCCUUAUGAAGAGGGCCCACAUUUUCCCUAGUCUGCCUUUUAUUACUGACACACUUUUAGAAGCUUUUCUUGUUGCCCUUGAGAUCUCUUGCCAGAUUCAUUUCUAUCAGUGCCUUAGUUUUCCUAACCUGAUCACUGAGUGCUCAGACAGUGUCUCUCUAUUACUCCCAAGCUACCUAUCCUUGCUUCCAUAUUCUGGAGGUUUCCUUUUCAUGUUUGACUUUGUCCAGGAGCAUCUCCUUCAUCCCUACAGGCAUCCUGGUCCUUUUGCCAACUUCUGUUUGUUGGGAUGCAUCACUCCUGUGCUUGGAGGAACUGAUCCUUGAAUAUUAUCCAGCUUUCUUGGGUCCUUCUUCCCUCCAGGGCUUUAUUCCACAAUACUGUACCAAGCAGAUCCCUGAAGAGGCCAACAUCUAAUCUCCUGAAGCCCAGUUGUGAGCUUCCUCUGUGCUCUCCUUUCUGCUAUAAGGAUCUAAAACUCCACAGUGUCAUGCUCACCAUCCAAGUAAUCAUAAUAUUCUCUGUGUGGUGAAAAUAGCAUCUCUUGUGUUGGUGAUCUUACAUCGUUCCCAAGUGUGAAAGUGAACAUCACUGCUUUUAAACGCAAAAGAAUGAUAUGAAAGAAUGUCUAAGUGCUCUUUUCUGGCUAUAGUGAAUUUUAUCCUAGGGUCUUCAGUCCCUGUUGACAAAGGUCUAUUUCAGACUCAUGCUGGGAAUAAGUUUUAAUUAAAAUGCGCAGCAUGGACACCUCUGCUGUGCUUCCAUCUCAAACUGCCAUUAAUGUCCCGGAAUCUCUGCACACCUGUCCCUGAAAACCAUUUAGUGUAGGUGUCUUGUCCUCAGCACCUACUUCUGCCCCACUGGCAGUCUCCUAUCUUGCCACUUUAUUCUCUAGAGAGGAAACAGCCUGUGGCUCAGUGCCUGUUAGUGACUGCUGCUCACAGCAGCUGUCUCCCAGGGUUCUGCUCACAAGUCUCAGAUGGAAAAGAGAACCUCACAUCCUAUUCUUCUCACACCCUCCCAGGGUACCCUCUGCAAGAUGAAGCUUCAGGACAGGAGAGGCAGAGAAGGGGGAUGAGAGUCAGGAUUUCUUCUUCCCACUGUGACAGGCAUUCUAGAGUCCCAGCCUCUCCUCCAGAGCCCUGCAGCCAGAGCACAGCUACCAGAAGAGCUGCUACAGUCGCUCUUCCCUGUGGAUCAGUCAGGCGUGCGGUGGAGCUGGCAGUGUGGUUAAUGCCUCAUACUAACCUUCCAAUAGUCACAUCCUUCAGAGAACCCAUGUGCUGUCUUUUCUCAGCAGAUGGCCCAAUGCAAAUAAGGCCUUGCACAGGGACAAGUGCCUGUUCAUGUCAGUUCAGUAUCUCAUGUAUUAAUAAAUGACUGGUGAAUUUCAAAGCAUUCUUUGGUCCAGACCACCUGUCUUUGCCCUGGUCCAGUGAGUACAAAAGGCUGGGACACAAAUUUACUAAGAUUUCAACCCAUUUGAUUGAGUUUGGUGAUAACAUCUGAGCCAUGUAGUUUUACCAGGUUUAGAACAGCUCAGCCUUCAGUGAGAGCCGGUUGCUGGCUGGUAGCACACACGGCACCCAAAGGACAGUGCACCUCAGCGGCUCCGUUCUGCCACCUGCUGGCAACUUGUGCCCGGAGUUCAAAUAGAGCAGGGCUGCCAGUGUGAGCUCCCUGUGACUGACAGGAGCUGCUGGAGCCCGAGGCUGAGGAGAAAGCUCGUGGGGACUGUGUGCUCCAGAACAGGCCAGGGAGGUAAGGGGAUAGGCGCAGCCACUCUCCCAGCUGAUGUCUCUGGGCCUUGACUUCCUCUACCUGAUUGCCUGUGGGGACUGAACUUUCUGCAAGCAUCUGAAGCUGGGAGUAAGCUCUGCCUCUGACUUCAUCCUCAACCACUGAGGCUGCAAGGAGAGGUGGCUGUGCACUCUGAGGGGAACAGCUCAUCUUUUUCAUCUGUUGACACCCGGGAGAGGUGAUCACCUCCACCACACGCACUCCAAGCUGAACACCGACAGUUCCUGUGCAGCUGCCAUGCUCCUGGUGGCACAGCACAUCCCAGCAGAGCAGGGCAAGCACCCAGGCACUGCACUCACACACUGCCAUUCCACCGGCUGCAGAGGGGCCUCUCUGGCCUGCUUCUGACUGUUAACAUUGCAGCUGAGAAAGGAGCUGUGCCGGACGGAGCAAGACUUUCAGGGAUAAGAAUAGCACCUGCCAUCUUAGGACACAGCGCAGUUGUCCAGCUCCUGCACGGCAACACGUUGCAGUGAGAUAUAGAAGGCAAGCUACCCGCUGAGGAAUGUCUUCGAGUGCUAUUCGUGGAGGCGUAUCAUCUACAGCAGCAGGCCCGGCCCCACGCAGGAGCCUUGCAAGAGGGGUUAUUUUGAGCCUUGGGCACUGAGGAUGAAGGGAGACAAAUGACAGUGAUCCUCCUCCUGGCACAGGCAACCUCCAGAGCUCUGUGCACAACUGCCACAGCCUGUCACUGCUUCAGGGGAUGACUCUUGUGAAGCAGUUGGGCGAUGUGGUGGGACCUGAGAGCCCAGGAGAUGAGGGCCAGGAGGGAGCUGAGAAUUCGCUGGGGACACGGGGGCAGGCCUCAGGCCCACCUGUCCUGCAGCUCAGGCGCUCCACUGCCUGCUUUGUUUUUGACCACAUCCCUAAAGCAUCGGCACGUAACUUUGUGCAGGUGAACACCGUGAUCAGAGGAGACACCGUUAGACUUAUGAUUUGAUAGCUGCUUCAUCUUCAGAGAAUUACCUGCCCUUUCAUAUCAGUGCUUGUUGUAACAUUUUUCUUCGUACAGGUCAUCAAAGAAACUAGUUUCAAGUGCCACACUUACCAGUUUGUCCAGGAGCCUUCUUAUUCUUCUUCAGAGCUGCUGCCUUCACUCUUCCC
rnacentral:lncRNA from 1 species